UACGUAGGGGGCAAGCGUUGUCCGGAAUCAUUGGGCGUAAAGAGCGCGUAGGCGGCCCUGUAAGUCCGCUGUGAAAGUCAAGGGCUCAACCUUUGAAAGCCGAUGGAUACUGCAGGGCUAGAGUCCGGAAGAGGCGAGUGGAAUUCCUGGUGUAGCGGUGGAAUGCGCAGAUAUCAGGAGGAACACCAAUAGCGAAGGCAGCUCGCUGGGACGGUACUGACGCUAAGGCGCGAAAGCGUGGGGAGCGAACAGG
rnacentral:rRNA from 1 species